CACUUCCGCCUGCUGUAAUUCAGAUGCUCGCCCUCAUAAAUCUCGACGAAUUGGAGGUAAUGAUGACAACCACUUGCAGUUAUGAAUUGACACUAAUUCCUGUAUAAUUUUAAAAGGCAGUCAUUAAAAGAUGUUAAUGGUUAGAGCCGACAUUUUCACUCUACGUAAUCGCUGCGUAAACUACCGUGACACGGAUAUGACGCCAUAUUGGACAGAACCCAACCGCACUGUUGCGAAAAUAAUACCCCAGUUGAAAAAGUUAUAUCUAUUGUUUGCGUCAGAGGUGUUUAAAGUGUGAGACGCGCCUGCAAGCACUUCAGGUGUGCUCAGAGUAGAGCAGAAAAGUAGGUUACCAAACAAAACGCAAUUAAAAGAUGUAGUUGCGCUUGUGGUCCACCAGAUGGCGACAAACAUGUCGUUCAGUAAUGACAAUUAUGAGCAAUUACUGCAUGUUUUUUCCCCUCACUUAUGGCUCUUCGCGGUCAAAGGUCGCCGCAGCUAGUCAAUCGCAUUGGGUCGAGUUGGACCUAGUGGCCGGGAAGAGGGACGUCUGGGCUUCCUUGCUUAGGCUGCUGCACCCGCGACCCAACCUCGAAUAAGUGGUAGAAGAUGAUGGAUGGACAGUAGUGCGCCACCUAGCUUAUGCUUUAACCACUAACUCAGGCGGAAGGCAUUGCUGCUGAGCAACACAUUUAUUGGGGUGCUGCAAUGACAUCUAGUGGACAGAAGCGGGAUCGCAGCCAUUUUCUAUGCUUUCUAUGCCCUCCUAUAUCCUUUCAGCUAUAGCAACAUUGGUUCUGCACGUUAUGUUCUUACCUGAGCAAACUUGUGUAUCUGUUCAACCACGGCGGCAAACAAGGCACCCACGCUCUCGUCAAUCAGACUCUGCAUGUAAUGGACGGCCUCCUCGUCCGACAGGUCCAGUCUGAACUUGUCCUGCACCUGUACAGGUCAUGUUUUUGUGGGUUAGGAUUAUUAUUAUUAUUAUUAUUAUUAUUAUCGUAGUGUUUCACAGGAAAAUGCCUUUUACCUUCUUAACAGUCUUGUCUGGCUCCAAGGCAAUGUCGGGAAUAUUGGCGUCCACCAUGAGGGAGAAGAGGUUGAGGAUCAGGUUGGAGUACCUGAACAAGCACAAAGAGUGGCCUGCCGGUGCUGGUUUCUACAACCUUAAAGAGCGUCGCCGUCUCGGGUACGAUUCCUCUUAUCUUAAUCUGAGGCUCCAGAGGAAGAGGAAUAGGCUCAAUUUCGGAGAGCCUUCAUCAGCUGCACCAGACGAUCCACGAAGGUCUGCUGGGUGGCCAGGAGCGAACGCAUCACCCUCACGCACUUGUCUCCCUGAAGACAAGACAGAGAGUGGAUGUCAGGAGUAAAGGAGGAAGCCGUUUUCUCUGCUCUGCCGUCAAAGGAAGAAACAGGAAAAGACUGGACAGAAGAACAGUGUCCCGACCUUAAGCAGAGCCUGGCUGAACCUCCUCAUCACGUUCAGGUUCUCGCUGUCUGCCCCUUCCUUGCCUUUCUGCGUGGCGGCGGGGGGUCCAGAUGUGGCUGUGAGGAUCUGGGAACUACACAAGCAAUAACAGAGAAACAGGAUUUACCUCGUCAUCCGCUUGUUGCAGCCGUGCCACGGCGUAGCGGCGCACUGUCGGGUUGGUGAACUGGGAUGACAGCAGCUCCAGUGAGUCCUCCACAUCCAUGGGCCUCCAUUUGCCCAGAAGCUCCAGUGCCUGCUUGGCCUCCUGGGGCAAGUCCCAGUUCACACACUUGAGGAACUUUGUCAGAGCCUGCAGCCACAAGAGGAAUGUUCACACGACGGUUAAGCGGUCCAGCCAGUCCACCUUCACCAUGUGACCCUGCCGAUGAGCCUUGGUCAGCUGUGUGGAAACGAGACCACUGAGGUGAGUCGGCACAACAACAACAACAACAACACUGCAGUCGCAUCGGAACAUGCACAAAUGAAGUUAGUGUGGCUGUCGCUCCUUGUUUGCACACGCGCUGCCAUGAGCUGGCAUCCCUUCCACAUGGAUGUGAUUACCGGUUAGUCAAAUCAGUGAGAAUGCUGCAUAGCAGGGGUGUCCAAAGUGCAGCCCGGGGGCCAUUUGUGCUCAUGGCAUUUAAAAAAAAUGGCGGCAAAGGGAGCAAAAAGGUAGAAAUUAAUAAGAAAAACAAUGCCCAUUGUGGCUUAAUAGUGGAACCUGCUGAUGUUGCUAACCCAUCUAUAUGAUCAAGCCCCACCUCACAACCAUACACGGGACAGUACUUUCACUGCUACAAUAUCAAAUGAAAACAGAAGAACAACAAAUAUUAACAAACUGCUGUAGGCUAAUAAAUAAUUUAUUAUUGCCCAUCUCUCUGGCCAAAGUCACAGAUUAACGUCACAGACUAACUAGCCUGAGGAACGUAGAGAUAAGCAGAUUCCACUGUACAACAACUGUAUAACAUCUCAGUAUACAUCUCACAUCUCACUACACUGGAUUGGUUUUAGCCCCUUCACAAAAUUGCCCUGGUAUCCUCUCAUUUGGGCAAGUUUGGGCACCCCUGCUUUUUAUGUAACCAGAAGGUGUGUAAAUAUCUUCUUCCUCAUGCACACGCGCUCAUGAAGUCCACUCGAGGGCACCAGCAGUGUCUCUCUACAUUGCAGGCUAACACCAAAGUCAAAAUGUAUAUGUAAACACUAACAUCUGGCACAGGGACAAUGUACGAGCAUGUUAUUAAGCGUGGUGCCAAUGGUAGAAUAUUUGCAAAUACAUUUUGGCUUGUACACACGGACUCCUCCACUUGUACUCACAUCACUGAGUACCUCCAGGUCAGGGCCCUGGAACAGAUGAGGCUUUAGUGCCGCAUAAUUGUUCUAACCCAUUUCUGAUGAUUAUUUAUUAUUCCACUCCAACACCUUUUGUCUUUUUGUGAUUGGGUCGUUCUAACAAAUACCUUAGCCAGUCUUCCCAUCUGAUCCUCGGUCAAACUGCUGCUGGUGCGUCCUGGUGUGCUGGUGGCCUCCGCGCCAUCGCCCUCCACACCGGGCCAAACCUUUAGGUCGUGCAUGCCUUGUCGGAACAUUCUGAAGCGACACAAAAGUAUUGACAAAUUAAGACGAAAUACUAGUGUUAUUAUACAGUACCAUACACACUCACCCGUAUUUGCCAAAAAGGGUGACAGUGGUGCCCCCAACCGGGACGGCUCUCCCAGGCCCAAAGCUGUCCCACACUGUGAGGACCACCUGCGCACUUUGGGGGAGGUCUGGGUACUUGACUGGCAGCCGCAGCCACUCAUUCCAGCUGUAAAAAAAACAUGUCAACAUUUACGUUGAGCAGAGAUCUAACGAUGACAAACGUGGGGAACUCACUUCCAGCGAGUGCUAAAGGCCUUGUAGGAGGUGCGGACAGGCAGGGCCAGAGGUUUGCCCUCGGCGAACACCUGACAGGUGACGUAGAGGUCCGAGCAGUUCUCUUGAUAGAGGCCGGAGAAACGCAGCAUGGGGUCUUCCAGAAGGGCUUUGUAGCUAUUCUGCUCUCGCUUGCCUUCUAAACUGCCUCUGGCGGAGGAGAGGACAGGAAAUGAGACCUUUCUUACAUGUCAAGCUUGAUAUUUUUUUUCUGAAAUAUGAAUUAGUAGUUAUAUAUAUAUAUAUAUAUUUGUAGGCAGACAAUUCAUUCAAACUAGCAUCACGUGACUAAAAGAGCAAGCCAUUCUCCGUAUUGACUGGAGAGUCUCAGAGUGAACAUUUAAGAUUAUAAAUUUACAUUUUGAGUUGAACGUUGAUGUCCAAAUCGCAGCUGUAAACAUAAUUAAACUUAUCCGUGUCCAUUUUCCUCCUGGAUUUCGACAAAAAAAUUACAUAUAAAUGCCGAUCGCUCCGUCUGGUGAAGACUUAGGAGUCGUUUGUUUUGUUACAAGGCCUCCAAUCGGAACAUCACGACGACUAAUAUACACAGACCAUUAUGAUACUAUGCAUAUAUGGCUACACACGGAUUAAAAACACUACUUUAAAGUUAUGUACUGACGGCAUAUGUAAUUUUUACAGCCGUCUGUGGUACAUGAGUUGAUGUUUUUGCUGGCUACAUAACAAACCAGCAGAGCCCGAGAUCGGCCAACAGACAAAAGUAGUCGCUGACCGAUGCAGCGAUUUAAGAAAAACAGCGCAAGAACGACCGUCGAUGAGUCGGAGAUACAUUACAGUGACUGAUGAAAGGGGGUGAUGUCAUCCUCAUGGGGGUCAGCUCUGGCAAAACCUACGGCGGAACAUCUGCCAUGCAAAAACAUUCAUUUGUCUAUCAGUGCUGUCAGACAAAGGCCUUUGUUAAUGCUUGAUUGACAGCAGCCUGGACUAAAAAGCAUGGUGAGCCACUGAAUGUUGGUGAAUCACAAAUAACUUUCCUUCUUUUUCCCUUCCCUUGGUCAUGACAUUCAUGUGUUGAUGCCAAGACCCCUCUAGUGGGGGGAUUGGGGGCUGAAACAUCUGGACAUAUAAAUAGGCCUGCAAUUGGAAAAAGG